CAUGGACAAAAAUUCUUGUUAGAAAAGUGAUUCUGUUUUUUAAGAACUUUGCAAACCAAUGAUUUGAUUUGAUUUGUUACAGGUGAGAGCCGCGAACCAUCGUGGUUUGGACAGGCUGGCCAUAUGAUGUAAAACAGAACCCAGGCAUACAAAUCCAAACAAGACAGCAAAAAUCUAGCUGUUGAAAUCACUUACCAACAAAAUUAAACUGAAGAUUUCUUUUUUUUUUUUUAACUAAGCUCUAAGCCCAACAUCGAGCUCGAAUUCACUACCAUAAAUCAUGCUCCAUUGACUGAGCCAGCCCAGCACCUCUAGAGAAAAAUAUUUUUAACAUAGAUUGUAUAAGAGUAAAAUAAAGUGAAAUUAAACAAACAAAACACAAACUGAGAAGAUCUGAUUCAGCUAUCAGUGCUGUGUUUUUCUAAUGUGGAACAAGAUCCUUUGAUUUCAAAAUGAGUGUCAAGAAAGCCGGAAGACAACUGAACACUGAAAAAAAAGUCACCAUAUUUGUGGGAUAAUCCUGGAUAGUAGAAAGUGCCUAUGAAUCUAGAGUGUUCGUGGUUAAGUCAGAGGAUCAUUUUACCAGUCUAUGAAAGCUGGUAUUUUUCCUUGCUAGGAUUCUGGAGAAAGAGACAAUGAAUGAAUGGUGGACUGGAGAACCAAAAUGUUGAUUUUACAUAUGCUGGAAAGGGCAAGGCUGCUCUGGGGAGGAAAAGAAGAAUCUAGAAGAGUGUGAGCAGGGAUUAAGAAUCACAUGAGCCAUGGUGGACUGGGAGAAAUACAAACAGGAUUGGAAGGUGACUGAAUAUGAAACCAACACAAUUGACACUCUGGACUUGUCUAGGUCACUCACAUCUAGGUUUGUUAGACAUCGCUUCAAUGGGCAUAGCCAAUGUCUAGCCCUUAGAAGAUCCCACUGGAUCCUGUAA
rnacentral:lncRNA from 12 species